rnacentral:rRNA from 1 species
AUGGCAGCAAUUCAAGAAGACUGCUCUGGCGAAGAGACGAGGACAACUUUUCACCCGACUCUGUGGGGUGAUUACUUCCUUAAAUACAAGCCACAAUCUUCAGCGCAGCAAGCUCACAUGAGAGAAAGGAUGGAAAUACUAUUGGAGCAAGUAAGAACAGUGAUGAAGGAGGCAAAUGAAAUCCCCAAAAUACUAGAGCUUGUAAUCACGAUUGAGAGACUUGGUUUGGGCUACCAUUAUGAGAAUGAGAUUGCACAACUACUAGAUGUUGUUUUGAACUCUGAUUAUGAUGAUAAUAAUCUACACUUGGUUUCCCUUCGAUUUCAUCUUCUACGAAAAAAUAGAUAUGAUGUUUCAUCUGAUGUAUUCCAUAAAUUUGAAGACAAACAAGGAGGUUUUGUUCAGUCAGAUACAAAUAGUUUGUUGAGCUUAUAUAAUGCAGCACAUCUGAGUAUCAAGGGGGAGGAUGUAUUUGACAUGGCAGUCUCUUUCACGAGAAGACACCUCCUCGGGGCAUUAGAAAAUUUGGAAUCACCAUUUGCAGGGGAAGUUUCCUCUUCCCUUCUUACACCUCCUUUUAGAAGGGUUGGGAUAUUAGAAGCAAGAAACUACCUACCGUGUUACACAAACAAGGCUACACGAAAUGAAGCCAUAUUGGAGCUUGGCAAAUUGAAUUUCAAUAUUCUGCAACUUCAUUUUUGUGAGGAGUUGAAAGACGUCACAAUGUGGUGGAAUAAGAUCAAAAUGAAGUCAAGGUUGAGUUUCGUAAGAGACAGAAUUGUAGAAACUUAUUUUUGGAUAAAUGGGACUAGCUACAACCUUGAAUAUUCUUAUUCCCGAAUCAUAGCUACAAAGGUCACCGCUUUCAUGACUAUAAUAGAUGACAUAUUUGACACAUAUAGCAGCACUGAAGACAGCAUGCAACUUGCGGAAGCAAUUAAUAGGUGGGACGAAGAUGCAGUAAAUGUGCUUCCAGAAUACAUGAAGGAUAUCUACUUAUAUUUGUUGGAAACAUUUCAUUCUUUUGAGGACCAUUUAGGACCUGAGAAUAGCUACCGUGUGGUUUAUCUAAAAGAAGCGUUCAAGAAAUUGGUUCAAGCAUACAGUGAUGAACUAAAAUGGCGUGAUGAAAAUUAUGUACCAAAAACACUUAAUGAACACCUUCAAGUUUCAUCGGUAAGUAUUGGAACCUCUGUGGUAGCAUGUGCUAUAUUUGUUGGCAUGGAUGACACAACAGUGGAAACUCUCAAUUGGGUGUCGAGCGACCAGAAACUUCUGAAGUCUUUUGCUAUAUAUACACGUUUCACGAAUGACAUGGCAUCAGCAAAGCGUGAGCAAGCAGGGGGGCACUGUGCCUCUACUAUCCAAUCGUACAUGAAGGAGCAUGGGACGACAAAUGAUGAUGCAUGUGAAAAGAUAAAAGAACUUAUCGAGAACUCAUGGAAGGAUAUGUUACACCAUUAUCUCGCAUUGACAGAUCAACCAAUGGUCGUGCCCCAAAUGAUACUUAACCUUUCAAGGACUGUGGAUAACAUGUACAAGCAUACCGAUGCAUACACUAAUUCAGAGAUACUUAAAGAUACAAUAAGGAUGCUUUUUGCUGAGCCAGUGGAAUAG